rnacentral:rRNA from 1 species
GAUGAACGCUGGCGGCGUGCCUAAUACAUGCAAGUAGAACGCUGAAGGAGGAGCUUGCUCUUCUGGAUGAGUUGCGAACGGGUGAGUAACGCGUAGGUAACCUGCCUGGUAGCGGGGGAUAACUAUUGGAAACGAUAGCUAAUACCGCAUGACAACAGUUAUUGCAUGAUAACUGUUUAAAAGGGGCAACUGCUCCACUACCAGAUGGACCUGCGUUGUAUUAGCUAGUUGGUGAGGUAACGGCUCACCAAGGCGACGAUACAUAGCCGACCUGAGAGGGUGAUCGGCCACACUGGGACUGAGACACGGCCCAGACUCCUACGGGAGGCAGCAGUAGGGAAUCUUCGGCAAUGGACGGAAGUCUGACCGAGCAACGCCGCGUGAGUGAAGAAGGUUUUCGGAUCGUAAAGCUCUGUUGUAAGAGAAGAACGAGUGUGAGAGUGGAAAGUUCACACUGUGACGGUAUCUUACCAGAAAGGGACGGCUAACUACGU